CCUACGGGUGGCAGCAGUGAGGAAUAUUGGUCAAUGGACGAGAGUCUGAACCAGCCAAGUAGCGUGAAGGAUGACUGCCCUAUGGAUUGUAAACUUCUUUUAUAUGGGAAUAAAAUGUUCCACGUGUGGGAUUUUGUAUGUACCAUAUGAAUAAGGAUCGGCUAACUCCGUGCCAGCAGCCGCGGUAAUACGGAGGAUCCGAGCGUUAUCCGGAUUUAUUGGGUUUAAAGGGAGCGUAGGUGGAUUGUUAAGUCAGUUGUGAAAGUUUGCGGCUCAACCGUAAAAUUGCAGUUGAAACUGGCAGUCUUGAGUACAGUAGAGGUGGGCGGAAUGCGUGGUGUAGCGGUGAAAUGCUUAGAUAUCACGAAGAACUCCGAUUGCGAAGGCAGUUCACUGGACUGCAACUGACACUGAGGCUCGAAAGUGUGGGUAUCAAACAGGAUUAGAUACCCCAGUAGUC
rnacentral:rRNA from 1 species